UGAGGAAUAUUGGGCAAUGCCCGCAAGGGUGACCCAGCAACGCCGCGUGGAGGAUGAAUGUCGUAAGAUUGUAAACUCCUGUUAGAGGGGAAGAAUAGUACCGGUUGGACCGGUAUAUGACUGUACCCUCAGAGAAAGCCCCGGCUAACUACGUGCCAGCAGCCGCGGUAAUACGUAGGGGGCAAGCGUUGUCCGGAUUUACUGGGUGUAAAGGGCGCGCAGGCGGGAUAAAAAGUCAGUGGUGAAAUCCUACCGCUUAACUGUAGAACUGCCUUUGAUACUUUUAUUCUUGAGUUCGGGAGAGAGAGACGGAAUUCCAGGUGUAGUGGUGAAAUACGUAGAUAUCUGGAAGAACACCAGUUGCGAAGGCGGUCUCUUGGUCCGACACUGACGCUGAGGCGCGAAAGCGUGGGGAGCAAACA
rnacentral:rRNA from 1 species